AUGAGUUAAGUAUAAACCCCUUUACAAGUAUCAAUUGGAGGGCAAGUCUGGUGCCAGCAGCCGCGGUAAUUCCAGCUCCAAUAGCGUAUAUUAAAGUUGUUGCAGUUAAAAAGCUCGUAGUUGGAUUUCUGUUAAUAAUUUAUAUAUAAUAUUUAACGUAUUUAUAUAAUAUUAACAUAAUUCAUAUUACUAUUCUGUAGUAUAUGAAAUUUUACUUUGAGAAAAUUAGAGUGCUUAAAGCAGGCUUAUGCCUUGAAUACUAGAGCAUGGAAUAAUAUUAAAGAUUUUUAUCUUUCUUAUUGGUUCUAAGAUAGAAAUAAUGAUUAAUAGGGACAGUUGGGGGCAUUUGUAUUUAACAGUUAGAGGUGAAAUUCUUAGAUUUGUUAAAGACAAACUAAUGCGAAAGCAUUUGCCAAGGAUGUUUUCAUUAAUCAAGAACGAAAGUUAGGGGAUCGAAGACGAUCAGAUACCGUCGUAGU
rnacentral:rRNA from 1 species